UUCUAUUUCAAAGCCAUCCUCCACACCACAAUACCACAACAUCAAGAAGAAGUAGAAGAAGACUGCUGGUGCAUAAACAAAAACUAAGAAAACUCACGAAUGAAUUUGAGGCCAGAAGCCUAGAAGUUGAAGGAAAAAUGAAAGAUGGAGCAUGGGGAUUGCAAGGCUUAUUGGAAUCUCUUUACUCACAGCCACAUAUUCUAUUUCAAAGCCAUCCUCCACACCACACUACCACAACAUCAAGAAGAUGAAGAAGAAGACUGCAGCUGGUGCAUAAACACGAACGAAGAAAAUUCAGAAGCCUAGAAGAUGAAGAUGAUGAUGGUGGUGAGAGAUUCAGAUUCUCCAUUGAUCUGCGAUUCCUACAACAUCAUGUUCCUUCCUUCAUCCAGAGGC
rnacentral:lncRNA from 1 species